AAUUUUGCAGCUUCACAUUCUGCUUCAGCUUCGUGUUCAGUAAACUGUGAUUAUUCACGUCCCUGCAGUGAUGUGUAUUCAUGCCUAUCAGGAUCUUGUUCAACUCUCACUGAGAAGGAUUUGCCUGCUAAAUGUAAAUGCUAUGUGAAAUGCCGUGAAGAAUUUAAUAAUCUUCGCAUAAGAAAAGACAACUGCAUGUAAAUAUUAUUUCUUUACUUCUUUUCAAAUAAUGGUAAUGGUAAAAAGCACUUCAGAGAAUGGGGUGCAAAGUGGAA